rnacentral:rRNA from 1 species
GCGAAUGGCUCAUUAAAUCAGUUAUCGUUUAUUUGAUAAUACCUUACUACUUGGAUAACCGUGGUAAUUCUAGAGCUAAUACAUGCUGAAAAUCCCGACUUCGGAAGGGAUGUGUUUAUUAGAUAAAAAACCAAUGCCCUUCGGGGCUCUUUGGUGAUUCAUGAUAACUUUACGGAUCGCAUAGCCUUGCGCUGGCGACGGUUCAUUCAAAUUUCUGCCCUAUCAACUUUCGAUGGUAAGGUAUUGGCUUACCAUGGUUUCAACGGGUAACGGGGAAUUAGGGUUCGAUUCCGGAGAGGGAGCCUGAGAAACGGCUACCACAUCCAAGGAAGGCAGCAGGCGCGCAAAUUACCCAAUCCCGACACGGGGAGGUAGUGACAAUAAAUACUGAUACAGGGCUCUUUUGGGUCUUGUAAUUGGAAUGAGUACAAUUUAAACCUCUUAACGAGGAACAAUUGGAGGGCAAGUCUGGUGCCAGCAGCCGCGGUAAUUCCAGCUCCAAUAGCGUAUAUUAAAGUUGUUGCAGUUAAAAAGCUCGUAGUUGAAACUUGGGCCUGGCUGGCGGGUCCGCCUCACCGCGUGCACUCGUCCGGCCGGGCCUUCCUUCUGAAGAACCUCAUGCCCUUCACUGGGCGUGUUGGGGAAUCAGGACUUUUACUUUGAAAAAAUUAGAGUGUUCAAAGCAGGCCUUUGCUCGAAUACGUUAGCAUGGAAUAAUAAAAUAGGGCGUGCGUUUCUAUUUUGUUGGUUUCUAGAGACGCCGCAAUGAUUAACAGGAACAGUCGGGGGCAUCAGUAUUCAGUUGUCAGAGGUGAAAUUCUUGGAUUUACUGAAGACUAACUACUGCGAAAGCAUUUGCCAAGGAUGUUUUCAUUAAUCAGUGAACGAAAGUUAGGGGAUCGAAGACGAUCAGAUACCGUCGUAGUCUUAACCGUAAACUAUGCCGACUAGGGAUCGGGCGAUGUUCUUUUUCUGACUCGCUCGGCACCUUACGAGAAAUCA